GAACCAAGUCCUUGACGGAUGAAACAAGACGCAAAAUGGUGAACAUGCUGGCAGCUGACAUGACAGAAAUGAAUGGGAGCAUUAUUAUGAUGGCGAGAGUGGAACUGGGUACUUGGCCUGGAGGAUUAAAACUAUUCAGAGAGGCACCGCCAAAGACAGGCGAUCAUCAUUCGGAGAAUCAGCCAAAGGAUCAACUGGUGAAGACAUGUCUGGAGGACCGACUGUCAGACGAGAAUCCCAGUUUGUUCCAGAGACUGCCCUGACUGAUGAUGAGUGCAACAAAGCAAUCUCACUGAUGAAACAUUCUGCUGAUGCAGACACAAUCAAGAAGAAAAUGGAACUGACGUUUGUGUAUCGCCGCAAAAUGAUCCUCGACCCCCAGCAGUCAAGCAACAUACUGUCUGAGUUUCCACGUUUUAAAGACGUCAAAAGCUUGGUUGAACAGGAUUUUGUUCUAAUGUUCGGAGAGGAUACCUCAAGCAAGCUUCUGGAAAGGUGGCG